AUUGAACGCUGGCGGCAGGCCUAACACACGCAAGUCGGACGGUAGCACAGGGGAGCUUGCUCCUCGGGUGACGAGUGGCGGACGGGUGAGUAAUGUCUGGGGAUCUGCCCGAUAGAGGGGGAUAACCACUGGAAACGGUGGCUAAUACCGCAUAAUGUCGCAAGACCAAAGAGGGGGACCUUCGGGCCUCCCACUAUCGGAUGAACCCAGAUGGGAUUAGCUAGUAGGCGGGGUAACGGCCCACCUAGGCGACGAUCCCUAGCUGGUCUGAGAGGAUGACCAGCCACACUGGAACUGAGACACGGUCCAGACUCCUACGGGAGGCAGCAGUGGGGAAUAUUGCACAAUGGGCGCAAGCCUGAUGCAGCCAUGCCGCGUGUAUGAAGAAGGCCUUCGGGUUGUAAAGUACUUUCAGCGGGGAGGAAGGCGAUGUGGUUAAUAACCGCGUCGAUUGACGUUACCCGCAGAAGAAGCACCGGCUAACUCCGUGCCAGCAGCCGCCGUAA
rnacentral:rRNA from 1 species